ACACUCCGGCUACGACCCUUCCCCCGCGCAACUCGCGCACUCCCGCGCAGAGGGGAGUACGAGUGUGCAUAAGUAAUCGCGAUUCACGGCUGAGGUGGACGCGUUAAUUAUAAUCUUCCUACCAAAUACAUACAAAUUGAACUUGAUAAUAAUUAGUUCGUGUGAAGUCUUGUGCCCUUAGUAUAGUGCUAAAUAACCCCGGAUUGGGGUUUUUCCCACCUACUGCUGCGGAAUAAUACUUCGGCUGUCUUGUUGGUCCUCUACGUUCCAUCUACUCUCCGCAACAGUGCAAGUUAAGUGAUGUUAAGUGCCGGAUACGGGAAUCCUCUACUCUCCGCAACAGUGCAAGUUAAGUGGUGUUAAGUGCCGGAUACGGGAAUCCUAUGAGUGUGCGAGAACCCACCUAAAUUCUUAUAUAUUAAGUAAAUGGUAGAAAUCCUGUUGUGCCAAUAAAUAAUCUGUAAUACUAUCUAG